UACGUAGGGCGCAAGCGUUGUCCGGAAUUAUUGGGCGUAAAGAGCUCGUAGGCGGCCUGUUGCGUCCGCUGUGAAAUCCCGGGGCUUAACCCCGGGCUUGCAGUGGAUACGGGCAGACUAGAGGUAGGUAGGGGAGAAUGGAAUUCCCGGUGUAGCGGUGAAAUGCGCAGAUAUCGGGAGGAACACCGGUGGCGAAGGCGGUUCUCUGGGCCUGUACUGACGCUGAGGAGCGAAAGCGUGGGGAGCGAACAGG
rnacentral:rRNA from 1 species